rnacentral:rRNA from 1 species
AUUGAACGCUGGCGGCAGGCUUAACACAUGCAAGUCGAGCGGAGAUGAGGUGCUUGCACCUUAUCUCAGCGGCGGACGGGUGAGUAAUGCUUAGGAAUCUGCCAUUUAGUGGGGGACAACAUUCCGAAAGGAAUGCUAAUACCGCAUACGUCCUACGGGAGAAAGCAGGGGAUCUUCGGACCUUGCGCUAAAUGAUGAGCCUAAGUCGGAUUAGCUAGUUGGUGGGGUAAAGGCCUACCAAGGCGACGAUCUGUAGCGGGUCUGAGAGGAUGAUCCGCCACACUGGGACUGAGACACGGCCCAGACGCCUACGGGAGGCAGCAGUGGGGAAUAUUGGACAAUGGGCGGAAGCCUGAUCCAGCCAUGCCGCGUGUGUGAAGAAGGCCUUUUGGUUGUAAAGCACUUUAAGCGAGGAGGAGGCUACUAGUACUAAUACUACUGGAUAGUGGACGUUACUCGCAGAAUAAGCACCGGCUAACUCUGUGCCAGCCGCCGCCGUAAGAC